UAGAUGAGAUAGCGAAAUGAGUGACCUUCAAUAGAAGAGAUAUUAAAUUGAAUGAUGACUUGCCAACUUGCCAUUAAGGAUGAGAUAAAAAAAAAAAAAGACUGACCUUUAAUAUAAGAGAUAUUAAAGUAAAUGAUAACUUGCCAUUAAGGAUGAGAUAGAAAAAAGAGUGACCUUCAAUAGUUUGGGCUUACAUUAAUUUUUAUUGGUUUUAUUAAAAGUGAAAAUUACAUGAAAUAUGGGUUUUUAAAAACAUUUUACUUAAAUAUGGCUUUUUUAAGUUUGGCCACAUUUUAUGGUAUUUUUUAUUUCUGAACUUUUAUAUGGUAUAUAGUAUGCCAUAUUUUUGUUAUUAUUAGUUUUCAAUACCAUAUUUUAUUUUUCAAAUCCUAAUUUUUCAUACUUGUUUUUCUCGCUGUUUUAUUUUUGGUCAGCCACUGCCUUUCUCACGCCGAAGAGUAUCAUCGUGGCCACACCCCCAUCCAAGACGACGCCAUCUCUGCUGAAAGUAUACCAAUGAGAUUGUCGCAGGUGAUGGUGAGGUUGACGAGGCUGGUGAAACUGCAGUAUUUAUCAUUGUUCCUGGUGGAAGCACCAAAAGGGUGGGCAACAUUUAGGAACAUCCUGACUGAGAUUAAUGAAGCAUUAUGGACCUAACUAGUGACUUUUCGGUAAUGAAGACAACUCCGACGACUUUUUUGAUGAUUUUUCGACAACGAUAACAACUUUGACGAAUAUUCUCAUUCUAUUUUCUGUUUUUUUAUUUGCGACUAAUAUUUUAUUUUAGUAGAUAAUGACUAUUUUAGAUAGUGUUGGGUUGAUAGUUAAGUCUUGAAGCUUUUAAAAAGUUUGUAAUUAGUUUUAUUUUGGCAUUGUAUUUGAUUUGUUCAAUAUUCCAUACAAUAUCUAGAAUACAAGCAUGUAAAAUUUAUUUAUAAUUUUUAGUAUUUGUAACUGGUUUUUAUUCAUUAAGAGAACAACUCUAGCGAAUGUACUCUCA